AUACGUAGGGGGCGAGCGUUGUCCGGAAUGAUUGGGCGUAAAGGGCGCGCAGGCGGCGCGGUAAGUCUGGAGUGAAAGUCCUGCUUUCAAGGUGGGAAUUGCUUUGGAUACUGCCGCGCUUGAGUGCAGGAGAGGUUAUCGGAAUUCCCGGUGUAGCGGUGAAAUGCGUAGAGAUCGGGAGGAACACCAGUGGCGAAGGCGGGUAACUGGACUGCAACUGACGCUGAGGCGCGAAAGUGUGGGGAGCAAACAGGAUUAGAUACCCUGGUAGUCCACACUGUAAACGAUGAAUGCUAGGUGUAAGAGGUAUCGACCCCUUUUGUGCCGGAGUCAACACAAUAAGCAUUCCGCCUGGGGAGUACGGCCGCAAGGUUGAAACUCAAAUGAAUUGACGGGG
rnacentral:rRNA from 1 species